AGUGGGAGUCGGGCUUAUUUCAGCCCCUACGGACUUGGGGGUCGGAAUCGGAAGAAAGGGGGGAGGGCUAGCCGGUUAACCACCAGAAUCACGGAAAAGGGGUGAAGUGCCUCAGGCACGGGGGAAGGCGUUUAGUCUGGAACAUCGGGUGGCUGCCCUUGGGAAGACCUACUUUGACUCAUGAUGGCAGGAAUUGGAUGUAGACGAUUGUCAUCUCGAUGUCAUCAUGCUUCUGGAUUUCUUAUGGGAAAUGACUGGCCGAUCUCAUCUGAAAACAUCCACAUCACUGUUACCCAGAGAGUAGAAAGAGUGGCCAGAGAUCCUUUCAAUGUAGAUCCUCCUGUAAGGUGAGUGUGAGGUCCAUCUUGGGAAAAAUUGAAGGAUGCCUGCAUUAAGGAGAAACU
rnacentral:lncRNA from 1 species